GUGGGGAAUAUUGGACAAUGGGCGCAAGCCUGAUCCAGCCAUGUCGCGUGAGUGAUGAAGGCCUUAGGGUUGUAAAGCUCUUUCAGUGGGGACGAUAAUGACGGUACCCACAGAAGAAGCCCCGGCUAACUUCGUGCCAGCAGCCGCGGUAAUACGAAGGGGGCUAGCGUUGUUCGGAUUUACUGGGCGUAAAGCGCACGUAGGCGGAUCGUUAAGUCGGGGGUGAAAUCCUGGAGCUCAACUCCAGAACUGCCUUCGAUACUGGCGAUCUUGAGUCCGGAAGAGGUGAGUGGAACUCCUAGUGUAGAGGUGGAAUUCGUAGAUAUUAGGAAGAACACCAGUGGCGAAGGCGGCUCACUGGUCCGGUACUGACGCUGAGGUGCGAAAGCGUGGGGAGCAAACAGGAUUAGAAACCCCUGUAGUCC
rnacentral:rRNA from 1 species